rnacentral:rRNA from 1 species
CCUACGGGAGGCAGCAGUGAGGAAUAUUGGUCAAUGGCCGAGAGGCUGAACCAGCCAAGUCGCGUGAGGGAAGACGGCCCUACGGGUUGUAAACCUCUUUUGUCAGGGAGCAAUUGGGUCCACGCGUGGGCUUAGUGAGAGUACCUGAAGAAAAAGCAUCGGCUAACUCCGUGCCAGCAGCCGCGGUAAUACGGAGGAUGCGAGCGUUAUCCGGAUUUAUUGGGUUUAAAGGGUGCGUAGGCGGAAUAUCAAGUCAGCGGUAAAAAUUCGGGGCUCAACCCCGUCGUGCCGUUGAAACUGAUGUUCUUGAGUGGGCGAGAAGUAUGCGGAAUGCGUGGUGUAGCGGUGAAAUGCAUAGAUAUCACGCAGAACUCCGAUUGCGAAGGCAGCAUACCGGCGCCCUACUGACGCUGAAGCACGAAAGCGUGGGUAUCGAACAGGAUUAGAUACCCGAGUAGUC